UGGGGAAUUUUGCACAAUGGAGGAAACUCUGAUGCAGCGACGCCGCGUGAACGAAGAAGGUCUUCGGAUUGUAAAGUUCUGUCCUGGGUGAAGAUAAUGACGGUAACUCAGGAGGAAGCCCCGGCUAACUACGUGCCAGCAGCCGCGGUAAUACGUAGGGGGCUAGCGUUAUCCGGAUUUACUGGGCGUAAAGGGUGCGUAGGUGGUCUUUCAAGUCGGUGGUUAAAGGCUACGGCUCAACCGUAGUUAGCCUCCGAAACUGGAAGACUUGAGUGCAGGAGAGGAAAGUGGAAUUCCCAGUGUAGCGGUGAAAUGCGUAGAUAUUGGGAGGAACACCAGUAGCGAAGGCGGCUUUCUGGACUGCAACUGACACUGAGGCACGAAAGCGUGGGUAGCAAACAGG
rnacentral:rRNA from 1 species